GCAAAUUCACCAAGGCAGGCGGCUGACUAAUUGGCUCCAUGGUUCUACUUCCUAUUUGUGUUGGAAACAACCAUCUUAUAUUAUGUUGAGUGCUAUUAAAAUGAGAGAAACAAUGUUAAUUCCACGGCAAUGUCUGUCCUCAUGCUUCAUGUAUUUGAAUUACACAAAAGAAUCAUGUAUUUAUAAAGCCAAAGGUGGAUUUGCGAAAAAAUGUUUUAUUUCUUUAAUUUGUUUUGUAGGUACUUCGGAUUUCGGUGACGUUGUUGGGUCAUCAGUGCAAAUGCCUGGACUGGUUAUGGCUCUUCAUUGCAAUUUGGUUCGUCCGGUGUUGCUUCAGAAUUAUCUCCCUCACUCCAGGGACUGCCUAACUCCCAUAUGUCUGAGUUCAAAAAAUGACUCCAAUAUACUUUGUUCUGCACCGAGGAUAGGGAGGCAACAUUUAUCAGGGUUGAUGAUUCUCCUUCCCGGUUGACAUCUCUUUUCUCUAGAUCCUGUAGUUGAGCAACAUUCUGAAAGGAGGCAAGGACACUAAUUUCCAGCGUCACCUGUUGCACGGAAAUGGAGUUUGUUGUUCAAGCUCUAGGGAGGCUAAGAGUUUUUUUUUCGGCGGUAGUGAGGGAUUGCCGAUAAGAAAAAUGACUAGCACGGUAUUUUCAUGUAGUAUAUGAACUCUUGUUUUCAUAGCUGGAGGCACGAACAAUAUGUAUUUGUAGAUGACCUAUCAGUUUAAUCUGGCCAGUUUGUGUUUGGCGUUCUUUUAUUGUUUAGCAUGACAAGAUUUGAACUGUGCAAUUAUUGAGUGGUAUACACUUCUGAAAUUAUUUCUUUGUGAUAAUUAGGAUAUAUAAUUUUCCAGUUCUGUAUGACUGUGUAUACAUGGGGAGAAAUCUUGCACAAUUGCAGUGUCAUAUUUGCUUGUGCGUACUCAAUGGCAUUUUUGCAGAGCCCUAUCCCUCUCCCUGUGUUAAACCCAUUCUUUAUGUCAGAUUAUAAUCUCCUAAUAUGGCCA